rnacentral:lncRNA from 1 species
CUCGCAGUCCUCUUCGUACUUGACAUUAUCGGUUAUUUUCCACAACAUGGCGUCCGGCGUCCCCCAAAACAGUCGCCAGUUAAAUCCAGGAUCCCCCCAGCCCCCAAGCGGUAAAUCCAAAAUCGGGGUCACGGUGACCAGGCGUCUGCCGCCGCCCCCGCCGCGCGCGGGCCUUGCUGUCCGGGUCACUGGACACGCAUCGGCGGCUCUGCGAGCGUAGAUGCUGCCGCCGCGAGUGUCAAGACCGCUCCGCGGACGGGGAAAGCCGCGCCCGAACAGUGUGUCCUGGCGAUAGCCGG